rnacentral:rRNA from 1 species
GAUGAACGCUGGCGGCGUGCCUAAUACAUGCAAGUCGAGCGAACAGACGAGGAGCUUGCUCCUCUGACGUUAGCGGCGGACGGGUGAGUAACACGUGGAUAACCUACCUAUAAGACUGGGAUAACUUCGGGAAACCGGAGCUAAUACCGGAUAAUAUAUUGAACCGCAUGGUUCAAUAGUGAAAGACGGUUUUGCUGUCACUUAUAGAUGGAUCCGCGCCGCAUUAGCUACUGGUUAAGGUAACGGCUUACCAAGGCGACGAUGCGUAGCCGACCUGAGAGGGUGAUUGGCCACACUGGAACUGAGACACGGUCCAGACUCCUACGGGAGGCAGCAGUAGGGAAUCUUCCGCAAUGGGCGAAAGCCUGACGGAGCAACGCCGCGUGAGUGAUGAAGGUCUUCGGAUCGUAAAACUCUGUUAUUAGGGAAGAACAAAUGUGUAAGUAACUAUGCACGUCUUGACGGUACCUAAUCAGAAAGCCACGGCUAGCUACGUG